rnacentral:rRNA from 1 species
UACGUAGGGGGCAAGCGUUGUCCGGAAUCAUUGGGCGUAAAGCGCGUGUAGGCGGCCCGGUAAGUCCGCUGUGAAAGUCGGGGGCUCAACCCUCGAAUGCCGGUGGAUACUGUCGGGCUAGAGUGCGGGAGGGGCGAGUGGAAUUCUCGGUGUAGCGGUGAAAUGCGUAGAUAUCGAGAGGAACACCUGCGGCGAAGGCGGGUUGCUGGGCUGACACUGACGCUGAUGUGCGAAAGCUAGGGGAGCGAACGGG